AUGUGCCCCAACCUGAUGCAGCCCCCCCAGCACGGAGAACUUUGGGCAACAGCGGGAGGAAGAGGAGAGCCUAAUGGUGGAGAACGUGCUUUCAGGAACAUUCCAUCUGAAUGGGAACCAACAUCUGCUGCUUGGCUCAGAGGCACAACAGCAGGGCCCGGCGCCGCCAUACGCCGCCGCACGGACACAAACCAGCAGCGUGUCCCGGAGCCCCGAGCGGAAAGAGGCACGCGAAAACCGAGCAGCAGCGGGGGGGGGGGGAGCCCGCCGACGCGGCCGCCGAGGACCGAGGCACGCGGACAACAAGUCGGUGGACUGACCUGUUUGAGAGCCGCGCGGUCCGCUGGAUGUUGGGCUGAAUGCGAGUUAAAUCCACUAUCAGUAAAACAAAGAGGCGAAAAUGACCGAGCGCUGGCGGAACAGGCCGAAACUGUUCCCCGUGGGGCGCAUGCGCAGAACAGCCAAGUUUGGGGAAGGGAGGGGGCGGGGUGAAUGAGGGCAAACCAUUCCUGUUUUUUUAUUUAAUUCACUUUGCAGGAAGUUUAUUAGUAAAUAAGUGGAUUUUCUUAUCAAAAGACAGUUAUAAGACCUACAGUUAUUUACUGAUGUAGUUAUCACACAAUGUGUAUGCGUUACAACCAGCAAUAUAUUUGUUUAACAACAGGGAGCCCCCCCAAAAAACAUCAAAACAGAUUUGAGGUUUUUUUUUUAUCUUCCUUAUUUCUUUAAUAAUUAAGGAAAUUUAGUUCUACUUUCAUUUUUUUCACCUUUUUACAACAUGCAAUCAAUAGUUUGAUAAGCUGUUAAAGGACUGUUGGCUUUUGAAAGCACAUUUGUGGAGAAAACAAACAAAAUCGGAUUAAGUUCUAACAUAAUUUGCUCACCUAAACUGUGAUGAACCACUUUGUGGUAGAAAACUGAAAUCAAACGUUGGGCUUUUUAAAAACGGAAUUUAAGAACAAAACAAAAAAAAGAAAAGAAGCUGGAUUCUUGAAAAGCAUCAUAGAUGUUUGAUCUGAAAUAAAGUCCACCACAUUUAUUGCUCUAUUGAUCUCUACGGUUCAGUAAAAUACCUGAACUGUAGAGAUUAAAACAGCAUUCUGAGGGGGGUCAAAGGGCAGGGAUACUAGUAUAGCUUAGUCAGUUUGUUAGUUCAUUUUACUAUUUUCAUAUUGAAUUCUAUGUAUUCAUGAUCCUUCUGAUUUCAUGUUUCUCUUUUUCAAUUACUGAUACGAAGCCCAUCGAGACGACUGUUGUUGUGAUUUUGGGCUAUACAAAUAAAAUCGAAUUGAAUUGAAAGAGUGUUUGCUUUUUACGGAGCCCCUAAACUGACAUAGAAGUAAAACUGGUUUCUCGUGCUCACCAGAAAGUAAGUCUUGUGACACAUGCGCUGCUAGUGAUGGGAUUACUGGCUCUUUUUAGGGAGCCAUUCAAAGGACUGGCUCGUUUGGCUCUUUUUACAUUUAUUCAGUUUUUAGAAGCCAGCCUGGAUCUUAUUGAUUUCAUCCUGGAAAUAAUCUCAGGGAGGAUUUAUGGGCUGAGAUCUGGAUUAGAAUAAUUGAAAUUCAGAUUUUCCACCAAUAAUUUAGUUUCAUGCAAAAACUUUGACAAAAGAACAUUUUUAACAAACAGAACAACUUAAAUUCAUGACUCGUGACUGAAACAAACCACAUGACACUAGAAGCGGCUUCAGGUGAUGUACAGGGAUGACAUCACCUAGCAAAGCAGGCAAUCAAAGGUGCAAGGUAAAAUAAAGCGCAAAAAGAUCAUAGUUUGUUUUCAUUGUGUUAACUGUCUUGUGCAGAUGAGAAACAAGUUCUUACUUCUUUUUUUUUACUUUUAUUUCAGUUUAUUGGCUCCGUAGCAUUUUCCUCUACUGCCAUUUAUUUAUAAUAGUGCACUAUCAUAAAUAUAAAGUUAAUUAAAAUGUAGUUUCUGUUGUUCAAUACAGGUGAGUCCACAACAUUUUUUAAACGUGUUCAUAUUGUGGAAUUCGAUUUAACUGGUUUAUUGUCUGAGUUAACUUUAGUUUGAAUGAAAACUUGUUUUUUUGUGUUUUUAGCAUGUUACUGGGGCAUUUUUUUCUGAUUAUAGUGAACUUAUAUGAAGAAAAUUAAGCUCAAAACUGCACUUCUGAGAAUUAAUUUUUUUCAAAUCACUGUGAAUCAGGAGCAAACGAAAAAAUGCAGUUUAAAAAAAAUAUCAUAAUCAUUUUAUCAAGUAUUAAAUCAUUUUAAAGUUCAUGACAACUACAUGAAGAACUUUCCAUAAAAAUUCUUCAGCGCCACAGGAGGGAGGAACAGAUCUGUUCAGUGCAGAGAGAAACUGGGAGGAACAGGAGGUCUCACUCUGAGCCUAAUUUGCUCCACAGAGAAUCAACUUGCAUGAAUGAGAAAAUGACAGCAACGUCUUUGUCCUUAACUUUCAUGGAUCCACUUGUGUGUUAUGAUUUCUUUUCUGCUGCAGAACCCAAGCACUCUUGAUCUUCACGCAGGUCUUUCAAGGAUCUUCGUAGAUCCAUCAGUCAGUGGAAACUUGUUCAGGUCCUGCAGCUGAAACCAGCACCACACUAACAACACACCGUCUGUUGUUUCCUUUCAUGUUGCUCUAAAAGUCUGUGUUUGUUGGAGAUCUUUGUGGAUCCAGAAACUUCCUCCUGUGUCUCAUCAGACUAUUAGUCCAGAUGUUUUGACAAUCAUCCAGAUGUUCCUCAGUGUUCUGUUUUUUUUUAAAUAUCUUGCAGACUUGCAGCAGAUGAUAACAAAAAGUGUGAGACUGACAUUUUUGUCAUUCAUUCAGUAAACACAGUCAUUAUGAUAAUAAUGUGCUGUUCUGUUAAACUAAAAAGAAGUAAAUCUGAAUAACCUUCAAUACCGCCAACACUACUUUCUCUUUGGCUUUAAAAUAAACCAUAAAACAGCUCAGAAUUAUAAAUAAAAAAGAACAUUUAACAGAAGUAAAUAUUAGAAGUGUCCAACUGAGAUUUUUGUGUAUACGAUAAAUUGCUUUCUUUUAUUAAUUUGGCUUUUCUGAAAGAGUUAUAACGAUUUUUAAAAAAACAGCAAAACCUUUAAUGCAUUCCUGCAUUUCUGGUUCUUCUGUGUAUAUAAUGAGAUUUUUACAAGUUGUAUGAUAAUUUGUAUUAUUUUAUUUUUCUUUCACCUUGAAUUUUCAAUUCUUUUCACCUUGAGGCUUGAUCUCCAGAGUUUUUGUAACAAUUGUAACAAUUGAAUUGGAUCAAUAACGUUUUUAUAUCUUAUUAAAGUGAUGAAUUCACUGGUCAGUGUAUGUGCAGCCCUCCCAGUUAACCGCAUAAUCUAAUGUCAUUAAAAAAUAUGUAGAUGAUCGUGUGGAAAAAAAAGCUUUUUUAACACAAAACCAACACAUUUUCAUAAAACUAUA
ensembl:lncRNA